rnacentral:rRNA from 1 species
CCUACGGGAGGCAGCAGUAAGGAAUAUUGGUCAAUGGACGAAAGUCUGAACCAGCCAUGCCGCGUGAAGGAUGAAGGCCCUCUGGGUUGUAAACUUCUUUUACAGGGGACGAAAAAAGGGAAUUCUUUCUCACUUGACGGUACCCUGGGAAUAAGCACCGGCUAACUCCGUGCCAGCAGCCGCGGUAAUACGGAGGGUGCAAGCGUUAUCCGGAUUCACUGGGUUUAAAGGGUGCGUAGGUGGGUCUGUAAGUCAGCGGUGAAAUCUCCGGGCUUAACCCGGAAACUGCCAUUGAUACUAUAGAUCUUGAAUUGUCUGGAGGUAAGCGGAAUAUGUCAUGUAGCGGUGAAAUGCUUAGAUAUGACAUAGAACACCAAUUGCGAAGGCAGCUUACUACGGAUUGAUUGACACUGAGGCACGAAAGCGUGGGGAUCAAACAGGAUUAGAUACCCUGGUAGUCACGCCCUAAACGAUGGAUACUCGACAUUUGUGAUAUACUAUAAGUGUCUGAGCGAAAGCAUUAAGUAUCCACCUGGAAGUACGACCGCAAGGUUGAAACUCAAAUGAAUUGACGG